UGGGUGGAGUUCCUUGUUCAGAUGAAUGAGGGAGCUCAGUGACUCAGAGAGAACCUGUAGUCUGUGAGCACAAGUUGUCUGGGCACAAGACUGACCCCCUUCAGACCUGGAGAGAAGACGUCCCAGCAAGUGGACAGGGGCCAUGGAGAGGAACCUGGGAGCUGUGCUGGGGAUUCUGUGGGUGCAGAUUUGCUGGGUGAGAGGAGAUAAUGUGGAGCAGAGUCCUCCAGCCCUGAGUCUCCACGAGGGAACCAAUCCUGCUCUGAGAUGUAAUUUUUCUACCUCCAUGAGGAGUGUUCAGUGGUUCCGACAGGAUCCCAGGGGCAGCCUCAUCAAUCUGUUCUACCUGGCUUCAGGAACGAAGGAGAACGGGAGGUUAAAGUCAACAUUUAAUGCUAAGGAGCGCUACAGCACCCUGCACAUCAAUGAUGCCCAGCUGGAGGACUCAGGCACCUACUUCUGUGCUGCUGAGGCACAGUGCUCCCAGUGAGCCUGCAGCCUGGCCCCAAACUGCAGCUGGCUGUGCAGCUACAACCCCUGCCACAGAAGAACUCUGCAGGAGGCUUUGCACAGCUGUGGCUUCAUCAGAUCUCCACAAAUCACAAAGAUGUGAGGAAAUAUAAAAAUACCACUGUAGUUCCCACUUACAUUCUGACUGACAUGACACUGACUUCUAGAAUGCUAAAUGCUCAGAAACAUCAGCAUGCAUGACUAAAAUAUACCCCUUUAUUUUUUCAGUUUUUGCUAAUGUCAUAGAAUAUAAACCUCUCUUACAUAUUGGAGAAUCAUUUGGGUCAUUUGUUAAAAUUCGAAACUGAAAGCAACUCUUUUCAUCCUUUGUUUAAAGAGCACAAGACAACACUGAGCUAAUCUGCUCAAUAUGAUGUAGAUAAAUUAAUUAAUUCAUCCAAUAAAUUAAGUGGUAGAAAGGCAAGAGAAAUCUUAUUAGAUCAAGACAUUAUAGAUAUGUCUUGAUAUUUUAAAUAUAUAAUACAUUUAUUCUGCAGUGUAAAAAAAUAUUUCAUGUAUUAAUUAGGAGCCAAAAGAUAAAAUAAAACUAGGAAGAUGUAUUUGCAAUUUAUGUCACAAUAAAACUUGUAGCAACUGAUUCUACCUUAUAUGCAAAACUUUUCUUUAAAACACUGCUUUCACUGGAAUUGGAACAGGCAGUCAUCCCCAGGGAAAGGAACAGGGAAAGACUAAUUGUCUAACACCAAAUGGUAAGUACUGAGACAUAGUUAAAAUGAACAUUUUAUGGAAUCUACAGUGUAUAUUACAAAUAUAUAUAUAUAUAAUUAAAACAAUUAAUAAAACUAUUAGUGAAUAAAAAAGAAUACUGCUUUCAAAA